CCCUGAGUUAAAGAAAAACAAUAUUUAUGCAGUUUCCUAGUUGAACUGCUCUUAUCUUGCAACAAUUAUAAGUGAUCACAGUUUAUUUGAAAUGCCUGCAGAAGUUGGUUAAAGGAAAAAAGGGGGGAAUGAAGGUGAAAAAAAAAAGCAAAGAAAAGAAACAGGUACAUAAGUGCUCCCUAUAAGUACCCCCCUAGCUUGUUAAAAUUCAAUUCUGGGUUGUACUCUUCCAUCAUGUUAUACCAUACCAAAAGAGAAAGGGAAAAGAAACACCACAAAGUGUAAAGGGAAAAGGACAAGAGGGGGAAAUAUCUUGUUCUUUAAAGAAACUCAAUGGUGGGGGAAUAGGAAUCUAAGGGGAUCCAAGCACUUGUAGACACUUUAGUUUCUCAAGAUAAAAAUGACUUGCCCUUUAUGAAAUGGAAAAAGAAGUUGAACCCUGAGACAUCCCUAGAGCCAUCCCAGCCAAUAGUAAAUAUGAGAAGACCUUCACCCCCUCCUCAUUCACUCAUAUAUAUGUAACACUAUUUCUCUUCAUCAAUAUGUUUCAAACUCCUUGGGAGUUUGAAAAAGUAAAGUAGGGAAUAGAAAAAGAGAGAGGGAGGGGGGGAGACAAGGUUGGUUCAGGUAGAGUUAUUUACAAAGCUAGCUUUGCUUCAUGCCAAAUUGCUAGCUGCUUGGUUGUUUCCCAAGUAAAAACAGUAGCCAAAGGAGCUGAGGAGUGUUUUUGUCUUUGUGGGGGCAUGGAAGGCCUAGCUUCUCUUACUUCAUGCUGCAUAUAUGCUUCUUAAUUGCUUCUACCUCCUCAUAGAUAUUACUUGCAGAUCACUUCUAGUCUCAGCAACACCAAUCAUCAAGAGCACUCAUUUGGUCAUAUCUCUAUAAAUCUUACCAUCUUCCAUGGUACAGAUAAAUUGGUUAAGUUUGCAUUUAAUUAGUUUUUGUAUAUUACUAUUAGCAUACUUGGCGUGCCUGGCUCCCUGUAUGCCAUUUGCAGAGCCCAUCAGGACAGUGAUGGCCUUAACGAAUGGCGUGCGAGGAGCCAUGCAUGUUGUGCGUUAUUAAUCAAGGGAAAACUAAAUUAACUAGUUUCUGUUUUCUACAAAACUUAGUUCAUUAUGUCUCUCUUUAAUUCAAUUCAGUUUUGAUUUCCUAUUGUCUUUGUUUCUUUCAAUCUUAUCAGUUGGGAGGGAUGGAGAGAAGAGGCUUGAAAGGUCUCCUACUCUCCUUUGGUAUCUGAUUAAUGAUUAAUCUCUUAAUUGCGUUUAAUAUUGUGUUAGGUUGUGAAUAGCCUACCUGGUUCAAAAUGUUAUUGACUUGGCUAGCUAGAUAGAAGAGAGCUUUUAUUUCCCUUUGGAGCCACACAGGUGUACACUAGAUCUUGAAAUUAAAAUUGGACAAAUGCCAUUAAUUGUUGAGCCUAUGCUAGUAAUGCUGGUAAGAUAAUUGUUGCAACAGCCUUGUGUAAUACACUUUGUUCAUUCAAGUUGUGUGUAUUUGUGAGAGGAGUGUAGCAAUGUGCUUUCAUUUUUCACUUUGUACAAUGCACAUGGUGCACACCAAUAUUGGUACGUAGUGCAAUUAAAGAAGAUUUGUAUA